AGUGAACGCUGGCGGUAGGCCUAACACAUGCAAGUCGAACGGCAGCACAGUAAGAGCUUGCUCUUACGGGUGGCGAGUGGCGGACGGGUGAGGAAUACAUCGGAAUCUACUUUUUCGUGGGGGAUAACGUAGGGAAACUUACGCUAAUACCGCAUACGACCUACGGGUGAAAGCAGGGGAUCUUCGGACCUUGCGCGAAUGAAUGAGCCGAUGUGGGAUUAGCUAGUUGGCGGGGUAAAGGCCCACCAAGGCCGCGAUCCGUAGCUGGUCUGAGAGGAUGAUCAGCCACACUGGAACUGAGACACGGUCCAGACUCCUACGGGAGGCAGCAGUGGGGAAUAUUGGACAAUGGGCGCAAGCCUGAUCCAGCCAUACCGCGUGGGUGAAGAAGGCCUUCGGGUUGUAAAGCCCUUUUGUUGGGAAAGAAAAGCAGCAGGUUAAUACCCCGCUGUUCUGACGGUACCCAAAGAAUAAGCACCGGCUAACUUCGUG
rnacentral:rRNA from 1 species